rnacentral:lncRNA from 1 species
UUGCUUAUAUAUUAUAUUUAAGACGAUUGUGCUGCCUAUGUGUUGUAUGCAUAUUAUUUCCAUAAUUACAUUUUUUUAACGGAGGCUGAUUUCCACAGAUUGCAAAACAGAUGAUGGUGGCAGUCAUCUUGUUGUCACGCUGUAGUUGAGAGGAGAAGUGUUGUAAUUUAUGGAUGUAGUGUGUAGUAAGAAUGAAGUAUGUAUGAUUAGCUGUGGCGUACCUUAUCUGGUUAAAGCAUCGACAUUGUGCAUAUUCUUGUUCAACUUUGUUCAAAAGGCAGUGAAUGUUUCAUCAUUUCAGCCACGGAUUUUGAAGGAAUAUAUGAUCAAGCACAAUUAGGAGUAGAUCCUAUUUAAAAUUGGUCGGAGGCUUGGAGCUAUUAGGUCUGCUGUGUGAAAGUUGUUCAAAGCCAAGUUUGAGAAUUGACAGAGAACACUUCCAAUCGUUGUUGAUAGUUGGCUGGUGACAUGAAAAUGUAUUCAAAAACCAUAGGAGUAUCAUUUUCCAUAAGCCCAAAUCAUAUCGUGCAGAGCAUCCAAAAGAGGAAAAAGUCCAAAAGAAGAAAAAAAACAAGCUGUAAUAUAGAAGUCAAGAACACAUAUUGUAAUAGUUUUGGAUCUUGUAACCCGCAAAAAGUUAGUACAACAAACCUGAGAUAAUAGAAAGAAAAGGGAAGGAUAGCAUAUAGGUCCUUAAUUUUAAUCAUAACCGAGGAAGAAUUACAAUGCAUAAGUGUGAAUAAAUAGUAAAUAAAUGUUGACGUUGAGAUUCAAGCUAGGCGAUAAUAAAAACUAAAGCUGCUAACGAAACAACAAAUUGCAGGAGUCACUCCAUAAGUCCCAAUAAUUCAAUGGAAACAAACAGAGCAUGCACUACAACAACUCGCAAAUUAAGAGGAAAUUGAAGCGAAAAACUAAAAUUACGGUAGAGAACAUUUGCAAGGAUAUUGGCGCAAUAGAUUUAUGUCAAAUUCUACCCACAGAAGGGUCCUAACUUCUAAUAAAUGCCAAUUCUCAGCAGAAACAAGAGGCAAAUUUGUUAUUCAUGACGUUUUUAGGCAAGAUUACAACUUCAUUUUUAUGCUAUGUUUAAGGCUCGUGUUUAGAAUUUCAAACUUUCUUCCGGAAUCUUUCUCAUUGAAUCGGAAACACCGGAUAAGACAUCAAUUUAUUGGAGAAUUUUUACAAACAGCUAGAGAGCAAUAGUUGACUUUAAAUAAGAAAUAUGCAAAAGUAACAUGCUUGUUUUCCCUAAACCAACAGAGAAUAUAACGGAAAUUACGAAUUAAAAAACUAACCUCAUAAUUUCUUUUCCCCUAAAUCACAUAGAACUCCAAACAAUCAAUUAGCAAAUAUAAGCAAAAAUGAAAUCACAUGAUUUCGUUUUUUCGCACAUAGAAAAUCAACAAAAUUUAAGGACGAUAAGUAUACUUUUCUCUUUAAACACAGAAAUAUUAAUGAACACAUAAAGAGAACUCCAACCCAAACAAUCAGACCCAAAAGCACAACAAUCACUAAAUAGAACACGUAAUCAGAAAAUGAAGGAGAUACAUAUCGAGAAACACAAAAGCAGAAUUGAGAAGAUCUGAUCACAACAACGUAAAGUAUUGUACCCAUGCCGUGCAUAGUAGCCCACAAAAAUCUCUAUAGCCAUAGAAUCAUUAGCACAUAAAACUUGAACAUGAAAACUAUUAUUAAUUGAGAGAUUAGAUGAAACCAUAGAAAAUUAUCACAAUAUAUAUAAAACUAAAUCGAAAAAAAUUAAAACCAAAACACAAUGGAGGUGAAAGCAUCCGAAGAAGUAAGAAAUCGUAGCCAAAAAUUGAAGAGAGAAGCAACAAAUUACCUGAAAAUUGAAGUUGCACUGAGAGAUGGGAAGCGUAAGGCAGAAACUUCUAUCUUCCUCUUCAUCAAUGGAUAGAUGAGAGCAUUAAGAUUGAGCUGGCAUGAAUGCCACGUGCAGUGAAGCUGUGACUACAUUACCACGUGGAGUAAAGAUGGAAGCAAGGGUAUGACUGAAAUGACAAAAAUGCCCUUCGUAAAUUAAAAAAUAACCAUAAGCAGACAUGCAUGCUUC